AAAGAAAAUUACUAAUUCACCUGUCGCUUUGAAAAGUCUAUUCCAACCCAAACCCAACCAUCAAAAUCCAAUUUGCUCAAACACCUACCAAGCUUUGAAUUGAAUCCCAUCACCUGAGUCUACUGUCUCAAAAUCUAGCUGGGGAAAAAACCCAGAAGAAGAGUAGAAAACAGGAAACGAAUAUCCCCAUCUCUACGCACUUCUUCUUAGAAAUGGCGUACGUAGACCACGCCUUCUCCAUAACAGACGACGACAUUAUGAUGGAGACAUCAUACGUUGUCAACAAUCGACCACCAAUCAAGGAGAUUGCUCUUGCCGUCUCUCUUCUCGUUUUCGGCGUCGUCGGUAUCGUUUUGGGCAUUUUUAUGGCUUCCAACAAAAUCGGCGGUGACCGUGCUCAUGGGCUUUUCUUUGCGAUUCUGGGAGUGGUGCUGUUUAUACCUGGAUUUUAUUAUACUCGGAUUGCUUACUAUGCUUAUAAGGGAUACAAAGGCUUCUCUUUCGCCAACAUACCUCCCGUCUAGUUGAUGAUAAGCUGAAGCUUCAAUUUGCCCCAAUUACUUGUGUACAUAUCUUUCUCAAGUUGUGGUUCUUUCUUUAAUUUACUUGCGGUUCUUUAUUUUUUUUUAAUAAUUUUGUAAUUUUAUUGUUCUUAACAACUGGUUUUUGUUGCUAUAUAGUUGAAUUGUGUCUUGCGCAGUUACUCUGUUGAUGAUAAAACUCUAGCUUCGUGAUCUUAGUUAAUAAUCUAGUUUAUUUCAAAUUCCUUCUUCGUUUUGUGUUUUGCUUCCUUAAAUGGAUGUGUUUCUUAACAUUCAGCUCUU
rnacentral:misc_RNA from 1 species